CGAGUGCCAGGUUACAAAUCUGGCUGUCGUGAUGCCUAAAAAGCAUUGCAUAGAACGGGCCGGGAAAGACCGGUGCCAGCCGCCGCGKWAACACCGGCGGMUCGAGUGGYAACCGUUAUUAUUGGRUCUAAAGGGUCUGUAGCCGGCCGGAUAAGUCUCUUGRGAAAUCUGGCAGCUUAACUGUCAGGCUUUCAGGAGAUACUGUCUGGCUCGAGGCCGRGAGAGGWGAGAGGUACUUCAGGGGUAGGGGUGAAAUCUUGUAAUCCUUGAAGGACCACCAGUGRCGAAGSYGUCUCACCAGAACGGCUCCGACGGCAAGGGACGAAAGCUAGGGGCGCGAACCGGAUUAGAUACCCGGGUAGUCCUAGCCGUAAACGAUACUCGCUAGGUGUCGGCCUCGGUGCGACCGUUGUCGGUGCCG
rnacentral:rRNA from 1 species